rnacentral:misc_RNA from 1 species
GACGAACCGUGCGAACGUUGUUCGGAAUCACUGGGCUUAAAGGGCGCGUAGGCGGUCUGCCAAGUCGGUGGUGAAAUCUUUCGGCUUAACCGGAAAAGUGCCAACGAUACUGGCGGACUUGAGGGAGGUAGGGGCAGAUGGAACUUCCGGUGGAGCGGUGAAAUGUGUUGAUAUCGGAAGGAACGCCGGUGGCGAAAGCGAUCUGCUGGACCUCUACUGACGCUGAGGCGCGAAAGCCAGGGGAGCAAACGGG